AUGCGUUCACUCUGGCAGGAGCUCCCGGGCCCCUCAGGACAUAAGUUGAGGCUUCUGGAAGCUGGGGGCCGCAUUCAUGGUUACAGGAACCCUGGCCUCCUAAGAACCCUCGGCGACGCUUUGGGAGGACUUGGGGCCACAUGGACACAACAGGACGCUGACUUCCUCAGGACCCCUGGUGUAGACUUGGGGAAAUAUGUGGAUGCGUCCAUGUGGACAGAAGACCCCAGCCUUGUCAGAGCCUGUGGACCUGCACUUUGGCUUCGGGACAUAAGGGGCUGCGUGUAUGCUGACAGGAGCCCACAGCCUCCUCAGGACCCGCGAGGAUGUGAGGCAUAG
rnacentral:lncRNA from 1 species